rnacentral:rRNA from 1 species
GUGGGGAAUCUUCCACAAUGGGCGCAAGCCUGAUGGAGCAACACCGCGUGAGUGAAGAAGGGUUUCGGCUCGUAAAGCUCUGUUGUUAAAGAAGAACACGUAUGAGAGUAACUGUUCAUACGUUGACGGUAUUUAACCAGAAAGUCACGGCUAACUACGUGCCUG